rnacentral:lncRNA from 1 species
UGCGUGAUUAGGUUUGCAAAAUUCAUAAAACACGAAGGUAUUUUAUAAUUGCCUUUCCAUGUUAAAGAACUGUUUUUCAAUUUUGUAAAGCGAAAAUACAAGAUUAAUUGUUCAUUGCUAUGUAAAUUUUAGAUUCUAUAAUCAUCACCAAUGCUUCGGAAUUUUCACAAGUUCGGAUAAAUCCUCCCAUACCAGAGGUCGAAGCAUUCAAACAUAUGGUACACUUUUUGAAUGAUGUUCAAAUCAAAAAUAAUUAUUAACAAAUACUUUCCCCCGCGGUGGCACCGCAGGCUCUGACCUAGUAGUCUUGUAUAAUAAUGUCGGUUUUAAGUCCACCAUGAAGUCCAUCAAUAACGAUAUUUCAUGAAAAAUAUCUCCUUUGUGAUUAUAGAUAAUUUAGUUUGUAGUGACAUUUUUAGAAAAUUCCCUCCAAUUUCUCAAAGAAGGGCACAAUUAGAUCUUAAGGAAUUACCCUUGAUGCAGCCCAAACCUGUUGUCAUUUCACCUUCAAUCAAGUGGGUAGGCCAUUUGGCCCAUUUCAAAUGUAAUGUCGAAGUGGCAUGGAAAGCAGAUUAGAAGCGGUGCAGUAUUGGGUGGAUUCUAAGGGAUUAAACAGGGAAAGCAAGGUGGGUUGGAGCAAGUUGAGAAAAAAAAAUAGUUUGACUAGUAUGUUGCCUUUAUUUCCAAUUAGCACUUUACUAGUUAAAGGGAAAACAAAUCUAACAUACGGUAAACCUUUAAUAAACUAAUACUCGAUAAAUUAAUAAACUUUUUUGGUUCCGAGUUGAGCAACUAUAAUAUUUGACAUAAUACGAUAAAAUGAUAAGAUAAUAUUUUUUGAAAAAUCUAUAUAAAUAUAUGGUUUCAUAAAUAUUAUGAAUUAAUAGUUGUUUAAAUAUGUCAAAAGUAUAUAUUUAAGAAGAUUUAGUGAAAUAUGUCUUUAGUGUUGUUAUUUCUUACUUUUCAUUAAUUCUUGGUAGAGGUUGUUUCAAAUAUUUGCACUUCAUCAAAAAAUGUUGGUUUUGUAUUUUAGAUAUGAUAAUUGUUUUUACUUGUAAUUGGUUCUAAAAAUAUAUUUAUUAUAACAAAAAAAAUUAUCUUGGAGUAGAAUGUUUUUAAGAAAUUGUAAAUAAAUCAAAUCUUUCAAGAAAUUAAAAAUUAUUAAUUUAUUCAUAUAUUAAUACUUUUAUAAAAUAAUAAACUAUUUUAGUCUGGACAUUAUUAAUUUAUAGAAGUUUAACUGUAUAUCGUAUGUGUAUUAUUUAAAUUUUUCUUCCUUAUAGUAAAAUUAGACUCUAUCUUAAUUAGUUGACUACAAUGCAUAUGUAAUAAAUAAAUAUAUAUCUAUAUCUAUCGAGCAUUGCGACAAUCCUUAUAUAUAUAUAUAUAUAUUCCUCGAACAAAUUGGCCUGUAUUAGUUUAACAAUGAUGGUUUCUUUGCCAUCUUCUUAACCUUUGAUCUUAGCCAUAUGAGUUAUUGGAAAAAACAAUCAUCAUUUGUAUAGUUGCAUAACUUCAUUAAAUCCAUCAAAAUUGUUGUUUUGACGCUAUAGGUUACGUCUAUGGCUUUGAGAAUAUCAUCCUUUUUUGGGGUGGGAGUACUUUUACAUGAUUUGAAAAAGUACAUGACAUCAGGUAAAGCGUGAUUCUGCUCAAGUUAGUUUGAAACUAUACUCUCUAAAGUUUAUUUUAAUCUCGCAUGUUGACCUUUGCACUAUAUGAGCCAAAGCUUUAGAUUUCAAACUCGUAAUCAUAUUCUUUGUUAUCGUGAGAAAUAAAAAAGAGAUUAAGGCUACAUUCCUCGUAACUCUAGUCUUUCUUGUAGAUUAUAUAAGGUUAAUUUUUGGAAGUUGAUAUUUAUUAAUCAUAAGAGGUCUAUUUUAUAGACCUUGGUAGUUGGUACAACUAAAUUGAAAGUAAAAUCACCAAAACCUUAACGUAAUGUAAAAAGGAAAACACCAAAACUAAUUAAUUUAAACAUCUUAAUUGUACCCUAAUCAACCAAACCUCUCUAUACUAUUAAAAGAGAAGUACAUUUGUACUUGGGUCGGGUUACAAUUGAAAAAAAAUUAAAAUUGACACGGAAACAUCCUAAACGGAUCUUUGCAAGCAUAAUUAUAAAACAUUAAUCGGAUUUCCAUAUAUAUUUUGUCAUUAUUGUCGCUAAAAGCACUAACUAAUUACCUAACAAUAAGAUUAGAACGAAAUACAAAAUUUAAAAUAUAUAGUAAUCGGAUCUUCAAGAUUUCCAUAUAUAUUCGUCGACACUAAAACAUUAAUUAUGCUAAAAGCACUAAUUAGUUACCUAACAAUAACGAGAAUUGCGUUCAACUAAUUUUUGGAAAUAAGAUUAUGCAAAAUUAAUCCUUGCGAUCUUAUCUUAUUAAUAUCGCAAGUACAAUCUUAAAAAAAUCUUCACAAUACAGAAACGAAUUAUAUUGUUUAGUUAAUCAUAUAUUUUCUUGACAUGUUACUUCCUUUUUUAAUUAUUUCGUCAAUCAAAACAACCCUACAAUGUCGCCGUUGAAUAUCCUUUGACGAAUAUUCUUGGUUUAAACCCUACAAUUGUAUUCGACUAUAAAUAUAUGAUCACACCAUACGUCUAAACACAAGCCUUUAGCAAUAAACUUUUAGAUAUUAUGGGACAAAUUGUAAACAUUGGUGAAUUGGAACAAAUAGAAGAUUCCAACAAUCUACAAAAGAACUUUUUUACUACGUGAUGUUAGGUACCCUCCUGCAUGAUCUAUUAAAUCAGUUAUAUUAUCUUGCUAAUAUUGUGAGUACAAAAAUAUUCAUUUAUCCCAGCUUUUGGUAUUCUAAUCAUUCUAUUUUUAUAGUGGUCAGAUUUUGGAAUGUGUUUUGUGGAAUUCAUUUGCGGAGCACGUUCUCAAAUCCUCUAAAGAGUAUGUCCAUGUUCCUAUUGUCUGCGUGAUUAGGUUUGCAAAAUUCAUAAAACACGAAGGUAUUUUAUAAUUGCCUUUCCAUGUUAAAGAACUGUUUUUCAAUUUUGUAAAGCGAAAAUACAAGAUUAAUUGUUCAUUGCUAUGUAAAUUUUAGAUUCUAUAAUCAUCACCAAUGCUUCGGAAUUUUCACAAGUUCGGAUAAAUCCUCCCAUACCAGAGGUCGAAGCAUUCAAACAUAUGGUACACUUUUUGAAUGAUGUUCAAAUCAAAAAUAAUUAUUAACAAAUACUUUCCCCCGCGGUGGCACCG